rnacentral:rRNA from 1 species
AGAGUUUGAUCCUGGCUCAGAUUGAACGCUGGCGGUAUGCUUAACACAUGCAAGUCGAACGGAAACGAUGGUAGCUUGCUACCAGGCGUCGAGUGGCGGACGGGUGAGUAACGCGUAGGAAUCUACCUGAUAGUGGGGGAUAGCCCAGAGAAAUCUGGAUUAAUACCGCAUAAUCUCUAUGGAGUAAAGUGGGGGAUCUUCGGACCUCACGCUAUCAGAUGAGCCUGCGUAAGAUUAGCUAGUUGGUGAGGUAAAAGCUCACCAAGGCGACGAUCUUUAGCUGGUCUGAGAGGAUGAUCAGCCACACUGGGACUGAGACACGGCCCAGACUCCUACGGGAGGCAGCAGUGGGGAAUAUUGGACAAUGGGCGCAAGCCUGAUCCAGCAAUACCGCGUGUGUGAAGAAGGCCUGAGGGUUG